AGUGAACGCUGGCGGUAGGCCUAACACAUGCAAGUCGAACGGCAGCACAGUAAGAGCUUGCUCUUACGGGUGGCGAGUGGCGGACGGGUGAGGAAUACAUCGGAAUCUACUUUUUCGUGGGGGAUAACGUAGGGAAACUUACGCUAAUACUGCAUACGACCUACGGGUGAAAGCAGGGGAUCUUCGGACCUUGCGCGAUUGAAUGAGCCGAUGUCGGAUUAGCUAGUUGGCGGGGUAAAGGCCCACCAAGGCGACGAUCCGUAGCUGGUCUGAGAGGAUGAUCAGCCACACUGGAACUGAGACACGGUCCAGACUCCUACGGGAGGCAGCAGUGGGGAAUAUUGGACAAUGGGCGCAAGCCUGAUCCAGCCAUACCGCGUGGGUGAAGAAGGCCUUCGGGUUGAAAAGCCCUUUUGUUGGGAAAGAAAAGCAGCAGGUUAAUACCCCGCUGUUCUGACGGUACCCAAAGAAUAAGCACCGGCUAACUUCGUG
rnacentral:rRNA from 1 species